GUAGGUGGCAAGCGUUGUCCGGAAUUAUUGGGCGUAAAGCGCGCGCAGGCGGUUCUUUAAGUCUGAUGUGAAAGCCCACGGCUCAACCGUGGAGGGUCAUUGGAAACUGGAGAACUUGAGUACAGAAGAGGAAAGCGGAAUUCCACGUGUAGCGGUGAAGUGCGUAGAGAUGUGGAGGAACACCAGUGGCGAAGGCGGCUUUCUGGUCUGUAACUGACGCUGAGGCGCGAAAGCGUGGGGAGCAAACAGGAUUAGAUACCCUGGUGGUCCACGCCGUAAACGAUGAGUGCUAAGUGUUAGGGGGGUUUCCGCCCCCCUUAGUGCUGCAGCUAACGCAUUAAGCACUCCGCCUGGGAGUACGGCCGCAAGGCUG
rnacentral:rRNA from 1 species